CAGCCGCCGCGGUAAUACGUAGGGUGCGAGCGUUAAUCGGAAUUACUGGGCGUAAAGCGUGCGCAGGCGGUUAUAUAAGACAGAUGUGAAAUCCCCGGGCUCAACCUGGGACCUGCAUUUGUGACUGUAUAGCUAGAGUACGGUAGAGGGGGAUGGAAUUCCGCGUGUAGCAGUGAAAUGCGUAGAUAUGCGGAGGAACACCGAUGGCGAAGGCAAUCCCCUGGACUUGUACUGACGCUCAUGCACGAAAGCGUGGGGAGCAAACAGGAUUAGAUACCCCCGUAGUCCCUGUCUCUUAUAC
rnacentral:rRNA from 1 species